rnacentral:rRNA from 1 species
GUGAAAAUCAGUUUAUUUUGAAUUGAAUUUAUUAUUGUUAUAAUUUAUUUUUAAAUUAUUAUUUAUUUUUAUUAUAAUAAAAAGAACAAAUUUAUUUAAUUAUAGUUUAUUAGUAUAGUGAUAGAAUUUAAUUAAAUUAUUAAAAGAAUAAUUAAUUUUUAGUACCUUGUGUAUCAGGGUUAAUUAAUAAAUAAUAAUAAAUUUUAUUUUCUCGAAAUAAUUAAGAGCUAAUUUUAUAUAAAUUUUAAUGUAGAAUUAUUAUUUAUAAUAUAUUAUUAGUAAUGAAAUGUUAUUCGUUUUUUAUUAUAUCUAGUUUCUUAAGAAAUAUAUUUAAUAUAGAUUUUAAUUUAUAAUAUUAUAAUUUUAAAUUAUAUUUUAAAUUAAAGUUUAAUAUUUUAAGGGUUGAGCUUUAAAAUAAAUUUAUAUAAAUAAUUUUUAUAGUUAAAAUUAAAUAGAAUUAGAAUUUUUUAUUUUUAUUAAUAUGUUAUAAUUAAGUUUUAUGUUGAUUUUAUUUAUAUUUAUUUUAUGUUUUAUAUUAAGUAGUAAUUAUUAAUUUUAUAUUUUUAGUUAUUAUGAUUAAAUUAGUAUUGUAUAAUUUAAAUUAUAAUUUAAAUUGUCAGGUUUAAAUAAGGAAUUCGGCAAAUAUUUUUUUCACCUGUUUAUUAAAAACAUGUCCUUUUGAUGAAUGAUUUAAGGUCUAGUCUGCUCAAUGAUUAAUUAAAUAGCUGCAGUAUUUUGACUGUACAAAGGUAGCAUAAUCAUUAGUUUUUUAAUUGAAAGCUUGUAUGAAUGGCUGAAUGAGAAAAAAACUGUCUAUUUAUAAUUUUAAGAGAAUUUUAUUUUUAAGUUAAAAAGCUUAAAUUUUAUUAAAAGACGAGAAGACCCUAUAGAGUUUUAUUUUAUUAGUAUUUAUAUAAUUUAAGAAUUUUAAAUUAAUAAUUAUUAAUUUAAUUUAAUUGGGGUGAUUUUAAAAUUUAAUAAACUUUUAUAUUUUUUAAACAUUAAUUAAUGAGUGUAUGAUCCAUUUGUUAUGAUUAAUAGAUUAAAUUACCUUAGGGAUAACAGCGUAAUUUUUUUGGAGAGUUCUUAUUGAUAAAAGAGAUUGCGACCUCGAUGUUGGAUUAAAAUUAACUAUUGGCGCAGAAGUUAAUGGGUUGGGUCUGUUCGACCUUUAAAAUUUUACAUGAUCUGAGUUUAAACCGGUAUGAGCCAGGUUGGUUUCUAUCUUUAAUUAUUUAUUAUAUUUUAGUACGAGAGGACCAGGUAUAUUUAUAAUAUAGUUUAAUUAAGAUUAAUAUUAAAUGUUAUUUUGGCAGAUUAGUGCAUUAAAUUUAGAAUUUAAUUAUGUAUUUAUAUACAAA